rnacentral:rRNA from 1 species
AGUCAACAUGCCCAGGGGACGUGGAUAACCUCGGGAAACUGAGGCUAAACCGCGAUAGGCCAAGAUUUCUGGAAUGGAUCAUGGCCUAAAUCUAUAUGGCCCCUGGAUUGGACUGCGGCCGAUCAGGCUGUUGGUGAGGUAAUGGCCCACCAAACCUGUAACCGGUACGGGCUCUGAGAGGAGGAGCCCGGAGAUGGGCACUUAGACAAGGGCCCAGGCCCUAUGGGGCGCAGCAGGCGCGAAACCUCUGCAAUAAGCGAAAGCUUGACAGGGUUACUCUGAGUGAUUUCCGCUAAGGAAGUCUUUUGGCACCUCUAAAAAUGGUGCAGAAUAAGGGGUGGGCAAGUCUGGUGUCAGCCGCCGCGGUAAUACCAGCACCCCGAGUGGUCGGGACGAUUAUUGGGCCUAAAGCAUCCGUAGCCGGUCCUGCAAGUCCUCCGUUAAAUCCACCCGCUCAACGGUUGGGCCGCGGGGGAUACUACAGGGCUAGGAGGCGGGAGAGGCAAGCGGUACUCGAUGGGUAGGGGUAAAAUCCACUGAUCCAUUGAAGACCACCAGUGGCGAAGGCGGCCUGCCAGAACGCGCUCGACGGUGAGGGAUGAAAGCUGGGGGAGCAAACCGGAUUAGAUACCCGGGUAGUCCCAGCUGUAAACGAUGCAGACUCGGUGAUGGGCUGGCUUCGUGCCAACCCGGUGCCGCAGGGAAGCCGUUAAGUCUGCCGCCUGGGGAGUACGGUCGCAAGACUGAAACUUAA